AAUAGAUACCCUGGUAGUCCACGCUGUAAACGAUGAUCACUGGACGUCAGUUUCGCUUUGCGAAAUUGGUGUCGUAGCUAACGCGUUAAGUGAUCCGCCUGGGAAGUACGGUCGCAAGAUUAAAACCUAAAGGAAUUGACGGGGGUCCGCACAAGCGGUGGAACAUGUGGUUUAAUUCGACACUACGCGAGGAACCUUACCUGGGUUUGACAUGCAUAUGAUAGUUGUAGAGAUACAAUCUUCUAGGCGUAAGCCUAGACAUUUGCACAGGUGCUGCAUGGCUGUCGUCAGCUCGUGUCGUGAGAUGUUGGGUUAAGUCCUUUAACGAGCGCAACUCCUGCCAUCAGUUGCAACCUUCGGGGCACGUCUGGAUGGGGACUGCCUGGGAAACCAGGAGGAAGGUGGGAAUGAUGUCAAGUCCGCAUGGCCCUUAUGUCCAGGGCGACACACGUGUUACAAUGGCCAGUACAAAGGGUUGCCAACCCGCAAGGGGGAGCUAAUCUCAUAAAGCUGGUCUAAGUUCAGAGUUG
rnacentral:rRNA from 1 species